rnacentral:rRNA from 1 species
GUCCUACGGGUGGCAGCAGUGAGGAAUAUUGGUCAAUGGACGCAAGUCUGAACCAGCCAUGCCGCGUGAAGGAUGAAGGCCUUCUGGGUUGUAAACUUCUUUUAUUGGGGAAGAAAAUUACGGUUUCUACUGUAACCGACGGUACCCAAUGAAUAAGCACCGGCUAACUCCGUGCCAGCAGCCGCGGUCAUACGGAGGGUGCAAGCGUUAUCCGGAUUCACUGGGUUUAAAGGGUGUGUAGGCGGGCUAUUAAGUCAGUGUUGAAAUCUCCGGGCUCAACCCGGUAACUGCCAUUGAUACUAUUAGUCUUGAAGAUCGUUGAGGUAGGCGGAAUAUAUCAUGUAGCGGUGAAAUGCAUAGAUAUGAUAUAGAACACCAAUUGCGAAGGCAGCUUGCUAAACGAUGAUUGACGCUGAGGCACGAAAGCGUGGGGAUCAAACAGGAUUAGAUACCCGUGUAGUC